rnacentral:rRNA from 1 species
UAAGCACUUGUACUGUGAAACUGCGAAUGGCUCAUUAAAUCAGUUAUCGUUUAUUUGAUAGUACCUUACUACAUGGAUACCUGUGGUAAUUCUAGAGCUAAUACAUGCUAAAAACCCCGACUUCAGGAAGGGGUGUAUUUAUUAGAUAAAAAACCAACGCCCUUCGGGGCUCCUUGGUGAAUCAUAAUAACUUAACGAAUCGCAUGGCCUUGCGCCGGCGAUGGUUCAUUCAAAUUUCUGCCCUAUCAACUUUCGAUGGUAGGAUAGUGGCCUACCAUGGUGGCAACGGGUAACGGGGAAUUAGGGUUCGAUUCCGGAGAGGGAGCCUGAGAAACGGCUACCACAUCCAAGGAAGGCAGCAGGCGCGCAAAUUACCCAAUCCCGAUACGGGGAGGUAGUGACAAUAAAUACUGAUACGGGGCUCUUUUGGGUCUCGUAAUUGGAAUGAGAACAAUUUAAAUCCCUUAACGAGGAACAAUUGGAGGGCAAGUCUGGUGCCAGCAGCCGCGGUAAUUCCAGCUCCAAUAGCGUAUAUUAAAGUUGUUGCAGUUAAAAAGCUCGUAGUUGAACUUUGGGUCUGGCUGGGCGGUCCGCCUCACCGCGAGUACUGGUCCGGCUGGACCUUUCCUUCUGGGGAACCUCAUGGCCUUCACUGGCUGUGGGGGGAACCAGGACUUUUACUGUGAAAAAAUUAGAGUGUUCAAAGCAGGCCUUUGCUCGAAUACAUUAGCAUGGAAUAAUAGAAUAGGACGUGUGGUUCUAUUUUGUUGGUUUCUAGGACCGCCGUAAUGAUUAAUAGGGAUAGUCGGGGGCGUCAGUAUUCAGCUGUCAGAGGUGAAAUUCUUGGAUUUGCUGAAGACUAACUACUGCGAAAGCAUUCGCCAAGGAUGUUUUCAUUAAUCAGGGAACGAAAGUUAGGGGAUCGAAGACGAUCAGAUACCGUCGUAGUCUUAACCAU